rnacentral:rRNA from 1 species
GAUGCACGCUGGCAGCGUGCCUAAUACAUGCAAGUCGAGCGAACGGACGAGAAGCUUGCUUCUCUGAUGUUAGCGGCGGACGGGUGAGUAACACGUGGAUAACCUACCUAUAAGACUGGGAUAACUUCGGGAAACCGGAGCUAAUACCGGAUAAUAUUUUGAACCGCAUGGUUCAAAAGUGAAAGACGGUCUUGCUGUCACUUAUAGAUGGAUCCGCGCUGCAUUAGCUAGUUGGUAAGGUAACGGCUUACCAAGGCAACGAUGCAUAGCCGACCUGAGAGGGUGAUCGGCCACACUGGAACUGAGACACGGUCCAGACUCCUACGGGAGGCAGCAGUAGGGAAUCUUCCGCAAUGGGCGAAAGCCUGACGGAGCAACGCCGCGUGAGUGAUGAAGGUCUUCGGAUCGAAAAACUCUGUUAUUAGGGAAGAACAUAUGUGUAAGUAAAUGUGCACAUCUUGACGGUACCUAAUCAGAAAGCCACGGCUAACUACGUG